rnacentral:rRNA from 1 species
AGAGUUUGAUCCUGGCUCAGGAUGAACGCUAGCUACAGGCUUAACACAUGCAAGUCGAGGGGCAGCAUAUUUCUAGCAAUAGAGAUGAUGGCGACCGGCGCACGGGUGAGUAACACGUAUCCAACCUGGCUUAUACUCAGGGAUAGCCUUUCGAAAGAAAGAUUAAUACCUGAUGGUAUAUUUUUGCUGCAUGGCGAGAA